rnacentral:rRNA from 1 species
CAGUAGCCGCGGUAAUACGAAGGGGGCUAGCGUUGUUCGGAAUUACUGGGCGUAAAGCGUCUGUAGGUGGCUUUUCAAGUCCGUCGUCAAAUCCCAGGGCUCAACCCUGGACAGGCGGUGGAAGCUACCAAGCUGGAGUACGGUAGGGGCAGAGGGAAUUUCCGGUGGAGCGGUGAAAUGCGUUGAGAUCGGAAAGAACACCAACGGCGAAGGCACUCUGCUGGGCCGACAUUGACACUGAGAGACGAAAGCUAGGGGAGCAAAUGGGAUUAGAGACCCCUGUAGUCCCUGUCUCUUAUAC